UACGUAGGGGGCUAGCGUUGUCCGGAAUCAUUGGGCGUAAAGCGCGUGUAGGCGGUCCGGUAAGUCCGCUGUGAAAGUCGGGGGCUCAACCCUCGGAUGCCGGUGGAUACUGUCGGGCUUGAGUACGGAAGAGGCGAGUGGAAUUCCAGGUGUAGCGGUGAAAUGCGUAGAUAUCUGGAGGAACACCGGUGGCGAAGGCGGCAUCCUGGACCGACACUGACGCUGAGGAGCGAAAGCCAGGGGAGCAAAGCGGG
rnacentral:rRNA from 1 species